ensembl:lncRNA
CAGCUCUUUCAGAGGAGUGAUUUUGUGGAACAGCAGGUAUAGGCUGUUGGAUGUAUGUUUAUAGAAGUGAGAACCAGUGAAUAGAAAAGAGCUCCUUCAGCUGUUGGUGUGAAUGAUGAGUUGGCAACCUGCAACACUUUGCAGAGAGGACAGGAAACGCUCAGGUCUAAUGUAGCAGUCUUCUAGGUCCUUCCAACCUGGCUGGAGCUGCCCCACUUCACAGUGAAGUUGCUUGGCUUUGGCUUGUAGGCUGUUGGGAGAGAACGAUGAUUUCCAGGCAGACAAGAGCCUCGUGGUAGGUAAGUCCCUGAGAUCACAAGGUUCUUCUUGGGAAGCUGGAGGUCUGCAGGUCCUGCAGCUCCUGCUGGCUGCAGGUGGAGGACAUUGUCUAGUUACUGAAUGGAUAAUUAAUGGUGGCUGUAAGGGACAGCACAUUGUGUUCUCUGGAACAGGGACUGUCUGGAUCAGGAAUGCUGUGUCUCCUGCUGGGAGGAGACUGAAAUAUGCCUAUGGAGGAGGAGACAUUGGCACAUUCUGUUCAGCUCUUGCCCAAGAAGAGAAAUGGAUCACCUCAGAAACCUGAGGGCUUGGAGGUUGUUGUUGUUUUUGAAG